GACGAACGCUGGCGGCGUGCUUAACACAUGCAAGUCGAACGGAAAGGCCCUGCUUUUGUGGGGUGCUCGCGUGGCGAACGGGUGAGUAACACGUGAGUAACCUGCCCUUGACUUUGGGAUAACUUCAGGAAACUGGGGAUAAUACCGGAUAGGAGCUCCUGCUGCAUGGUGGGGGUUGGAAAGUUUCGGCGGUUGGGGAUGGACUCGCGGCUUAUCAGCUUGUUGGUGGGGUAGUGGCUUACCAAGGCUUUGACGGGUAGCCGGCCUGGGAGGGUGACCGGCCACAUUGGGACUGAGAUACGGCCCAGACUCCUACGUGAGGCAGCAGUGGGGAAUAUUGCACAAUGGGCGGAAGCCUGAUGCAGCAACGCCGCGUGCGGGAUGACGUCCUUCGGGUUGUAAACCGCUUUCGCCUGUGCCGAAGCGUGAGUGACGGUAAUGGGUAAAGAAGCACCGGCUAACUACGUG
rnacentral:rRNA from 1 species